rnacentral:rRNA from 1 species
UACGUAGGGGGCGAGCGUUGUCCGGAAUCAUUGGGCGUAAAGCGCGUGUAGGCGGCUCGAUAAGUCCGGUGUGAAACCUUGGGGCUCAACCCCAAGCCUGCACUGGAUACUGCCGAGCUAGAGUCCGGGAGGGGAGAGCGGAAUUCCUAGUGUAGCGGUGAAAUGCGCAGAUAUCAGGAGGAACACCAAUGGCGAAGGCAGCUCGCUGGGACGGUACUGACGCUGAGACGCGAAAGCGUGGGGAGCAAACAGG